rnacentral:rRNA from 1 species
GAGUUUGAUCAUGGCUCAGAACGAACGCUGGCGGCAGGCUUAACACAUGCAAGUCGAACGCCCCGCAAGGGGAGUGGCAGACGGGUGAGUAACACGUGGGAACAUACCCUUCGGUUCGGAACAACGCCGGGAAACUGGCGCUAAUACCGGAUACGGCUUGAGGGCGAAAGAUUCAUCGCCGAAGGAUUGGCCCGCGUUCGAUUAGCUUGUUGGUGAGGUAACGGCUCACCAAGGCGACGAUCGAUAGCUGGUCUGAGAGGAUGGCCAGCCACAUUGGGACUGAGACACGGCCCAAACUCCUACGGGAGGCAGCAGUGGGGAAUAUUGGACAAUGGGCGCAAGCCUGAUCCAGCCAUGCCGCGUGAGUGAUGACGGCCUUAGGGUUGUAAAGCUCUUUCGCACGCGACGAUAAUGACGGUAGCGUGAGAAGAAGCCCCGGCUAACUUCGUGCCAGCAGCCGCGGUAAUACG